GGGAGUAGAUGGUUGACUGGUGUUGCCCCCGGACUUCAAAUCCGGUGGGGGGCGCGGUGCGUCCCCGGUGGGUUCGAUUCCCACAUACUCCCGCCA
rnacentral:tRNA from 1 species